AAUUCCUUGCACUCAGUCCUGCAGCCAGCUAUAUUACUGGACAGGUAUUAAAAUCAUAUCUCACUCUAUCCUCGCUUUACUAAAUAUAUUUUUUUCUCGUUGACACAAUAUUUAUAAUAGCGUUUAUUGUCCUUGCAGGUUCUUACUAUUGAUGGUGGAAUGGUUAUGUAGAAAUUUUCAGCUUCCCCGUUGUCUCCUUGUCGUGGGUGUGAUUAAAAGGUUGAUUGAUUAUGCCAUGCUGUAGGUAUCGGUCACUCCGUCCUAUCGAGAAGGGUAGACUCAGUAGUAAUAUCAUAGGAGCAGACGGCUUCCUUUUUUCUUCCUCUUUUUUGAGUUCACUUUUCUGGUUUAGCUUGUUAGCUUUUCCCCAACUGGGGGAUAAAAUUUUGUAAAGAGUUGGCAGGCUUUUCCCGUUAUUUUUGUCGAACUGUUGCAGAAGCAAAAAUUGGGUCUUGGAUUGGACGUUAGAUAUGUUCCGCACCAUUUGUUGUUUGACUUUAUUAACAAAACGUGAAAUUUUUGGACGGAAAAGCCAAGGAAUCCUUUCAACAACAUUUUUCUUUUACUUAUCGCUGCAAUCUAGUACUAAACUAUGUAAUCAUGCAUCUGCCUAGCACUAGCCACCCCCUAGUACUUUCACUGGACAUAUAACCAACUCACGCCAUUCCAACUUCUACACGAGCAAAAGAAUCUGGA
rnacentral:lncRNA from 1 species